rnacentral:rRNA from 1 species
GGGAAACUGAGAAUAAUACUCCAUAGAUCCAGGAUGCUGGAAUGCACCUAGAUUGAAAGUUCCGGCGCCUAAGGAUGAGUCUGCGGACUAUCAGGUAGUAGUCAGGGUAAAGACCUGACUAGCCUACGACGGAUACGGGUUGUGAGAGCAAUAGCCCGGAGACGAUAUCUGAGACACGAUAUCGGGCCCUACGGGGCGCAGCAGGCGCGAAAUCUUCACAAUGUGCGAAAGCACGAUGAGGGGAUCCCAAGUGUUGGUUCGUAAGAAUCAUCUGUUUCUUUGUCUAAAAAACAGAGAGAGUAAGAGCUGGGUAAGACGGGUGCCAGCCGCCGCGGUAAUACCUGCAGCUCAAGUGGUGGCCGCUAUUAUUGGGCCUAAAACGUCCGUAGCCGGUUUAGUAAAUGCUUGGGUAAAUUGUGUAGCUCAACUAUACGAAUACCGAGUAGACUGCUGAACUUGGGACCGGGAGAGGCUAGAGGUACUCCUAGGGUAGAGGUGAAAUUCUGUAAUCCUAGGGGGACCACCAGUGGCGAAGGCGUCUAGCUAGAACGGGUCUGACGGUGAGGGACGAAGCCCUGGGGCGCAAACCGGAUUAGAUACCCGGGUAGUCCAGGGUGUAAACGCUGCUCGCUUGAUGUUAGUUGGGCUCCGAGCCCAACUAGUGUCGGAGAGAAGUUGUUAAGCGAGCUGCCUGGGAAGUACGGUCGCAAGGCUGAAACUUAA